rnacentral:rRNA from 1 species
ACACGUAGGGGGCAAGCGUUAUCCGGAAUUAUUGGGCGUAAAGGGUGCGUAGGCGGCCUUAUGGGUCAGAGGUUAAAUACUAUAGCUUAACUAUAGUCCGCCUUUGAAACUAUAAGGCUUGAGUGCAGGAGAGGAGAGUGGAAUUCCUAGUGUAGCGGUGAAAUGCGUAGAUAUUAGGAGGAAUACCAGUGGCGAAGGCGACUCUCUGGACUGCAACUGACGCUAAGGCACGAAAGCGUGGGUAGCGAACAGGAUUAGAUACCCUGGUAGUCCACGCCAUAAACGAUGAGUGCUAGGUGUUGGGGGUCAAACCUCGGUGCCGCAGUUAACGCAUUAAGCACUCCGCCUGGGGAGUACGUUCGCAAGAAUAAA